ACGCCUGAUAGCCGCCGAUCUCCGCGUACGUGCCGCUUCUGAGCGCCGCGCUGAGCACGAACAGAUACAGCAGCGGCUGCGUGAGCCCGAACAGGAUGCGCAGCGGCGACGCCCAGAAGCGCUUGAGGUCGAACCAGACGAUCGCGGCGACGGCGCUCAUGCGGGCCGCCCGGCGAAACGUGGCGCGGCGUCGCCGCCGCGGCGCGCGGCGAUCCAGUGGCCGACGACAUCCUUCAGCCCCGGCGCGGCGAUAUCGGCGCCGAGCACGCGGCACGGCAUCUGCCGCAGCAGCGCCGGCAGCACCGCCUGCGGAUCGGCGCCCGCGACCGCGAUGCCUUGCGCGUCGACUUCGAACGGAUAGCCGUGCUCGGCGAGCCAGCGGCGCGCCGCGUCGAUGUCCGGCACGCGCAGCCGGAUCACGCCGGGCACGGGCGCGCGCAUCGCACGCCACGAACCGAGCGCGACCAGCUCGCCGCGAUCGAGCACGACGACGCGGUCGGCGUCGCACGCCUCGUCGGUAUGAUGGGUCGAGCAGAGCACCGUGCGCCCGUCGGCGACGAGCCGCUUGAUCUCGGCCCAGAACGCGUCGCGCGCGGCCACGUCGAGGCCGAGCGUCGGCUCGUCGAGCAGCAGCACGCGCGGCUGCGCGACGAGCGCGCGCGCGAGCUCGAGCCGCCGGCGCUCGCCGCCCGAGAGCCGGCGCACGAGCGUCGCCGCGUGCGCGCGAAGACCGAGCGCCUCGAGCAGCGCGUCCACGCGCGUGUGCGCGGCGCGCCCGGUCACGCCCUGGCAACGCGCGAUGAACCACAGGUUCUCGCGCGCGGUGAGCCGCGGCUCGAGCGCCGAUUCCUGAAACACGACGCCGAUGCGCUCGCGCACGCGCGCGGGCUGCGCGAGCGCGUCGAAGCCGUCGACGAAGAUGCGCCCGCCGCUCGGCGCCGCGAGCGUCGCGACGAGCGACAGCAGCGAAGUCUUGCCCGCGCCGUUCAAGCCGACCAUCGCGACCAGUUCGCCGUACCCGAUCGUGACCCGCACGCGCUGCAGGAUCGCGCGGCCGCCGCGCUGCAGGCUCACGUCUUGCAAGUCGAUGCAGGGAGCGUGCGAUUCUCGCGGUUCGUGCAGCUCAUGCGGUUCGCGCGGUUCAUGUGUUGCGUUCGUCAUCGCGGGCGGCGCUCCGUCGUGUUAGUCGAGCCGGGCGGCGCGCAGCGCCGGAUCGGCGAAGCGCGCGCGCGCGGCCAUCGCGUCGGUCGCCCACACGCGCCCCUGCGCAUCGACGAUCAGCACGGCCUGCACGCCGAGCCGGCGCGCGAGCGGCAUCGCCGCGCGCCCCGCGAUGAACGGCGGCUUGCUCGCGCCGUCGGACAGCGCGCCCGCGUGCGGGCCGGGCGCGACGAGCACGGUCACCGCCUCGCUUUG
rnacentral:rRNA from 1 species